CCACUAGCAGAGACUUUGGGAUAGGGCAGAACCAUGGGGAAGGAGGACCCUCAGGAGGAGACCUGGUCAACUUUCCUUUAAGCGCCUGCAGGUGACAUCCCGGAGACUGUGCCUUUGUCCACUGUCAAUAGACAGUGUUCGUCGGGGCUACAGGCAGUGGCCAGCAUAGCAGGUGGCAUCAGAAAUGGGUCUUAUGACAUUGGCAUGGCCUGUGGGGUGGAGUCCAUGUCCCUGGCUGACAGAGGGAACCCUGGAAAUAUUACUUCGCGCUUGAUGGAGAAGGAGAAGGCCAGAGAUUGCCUGAUUCCUAUGGGGAUAACCUCUGAGAAUGUGGCUGAGCGGUUUGGCAUUUCACGGGAGAAGCAGGAUACCUUUGCCCUGGCUUCCCAGCAGAAGGCAGCAAGAGCCCAGAGCAAGGGCUGUUUCCAAGCUGAGAUUGUGCCUGUGACCACCACGGUCCAUGAUGACAAGGGCACCAAGAGGAGCAUCACUGUGACCCAGGAUGAGGGUAUCCGCCCCAGCACCACCAUAGAGGGCCUGGCCAAACUGAAGCCUGCCUUCAAGAAGGAUGGUUCUACCACAGCUGGUGAGACUGGUCCGGGGUGGGGGUGUGAGAAAGGCCAUGGCCAUGCGGGGUGCUGUACUCUGGGAACCUGGAAUAGACCAGGCCCCUCUGCAAAGUAGAAGUGGGAGGGCUGGGAUCUCCUCAGCCCCACCCCGAUGCCUUCUUACCCCAACAGUUUGCCCCUAGGAAACUCUAGCCAGGUGAGUGAUGGUGCAGCUGCCAUCCUGCUGGCCCGGAGAUCCAAGGCAGAAGAGUUGGGCCUUCCCAUCCUUGGGGUCCUGAGGUCUUAUGCAGUGGUUGGGGUCCCACCUGACAUCAUGGGCAUUGGACCUGCCUACGCCAUCCCCGUAGCUUUGCAAAAAGCAGGGCUGACAGUGAGUGACGUGGACAUCUUCGAGAUCAAUGAGGCCUUUGCAAGCCAGGCUGCCUACUGUGUGGAGAAGCUACGACUCCCCCCUGAGAAGGUGAACCCUCUGGGGGGUGCAGUGGCCUUAGGGCACCCACUGGGCUGCACUGGGGCACGACAGGUCAUCACGCUGCUCAAUGAGCUGAAGCGCCGUGGGAAGAGGGCAUAUGGAGUGGUGUCCAUGUGCAUCGGGACUGGAAUGGGAGCCGCUGCCGUCUUUGAAUACCCUGGGAACUGAGUGAGGUCCCAGCCUGGAGGUGCUACGCAGACAGUCCUGCUGCUCUAGCAGCAAGGCAGUAACAUCACAAAAGCAAAACUACAUGGGAAAACUCAGCACUGGUGGUGGUGGCAGUGGACAGAUCAAGGCACUUCAACUCAUUUGGAAAAUGUGAACACUGGUGACAUGGUAUAGGAGUGGGUGGGGUGUUGAGCCACCCAUCGGACCCUCUUUAGCUGUGCAAGACAAAAGCAGCCUGGGUCACCCAGGCCACAAGGCCAUGGUUAAUUCUUAAGGCAAGGUGAAUCCAUGGAUGAGAAGUGCAAUGGGCAUAGUAAAAGUGCAUGAA
rnacentral:sRNA from 1 species